rnacentral:rRNA from 1 species
UGGGGAAUAUUGGACAAUGGGCGAAAGCCUGAUCCAGCAAUACCGCGUGAAUGAUGAAGGCCUUAGGGUUGUAAAGUUCUUUUAGUUGGGAAGAUAAUGACGGUACCAACAGAAAAAGCCCCGGCUAACUCCGUGCCAGCAGCCGCGGUAAGACGGAGGGGGCUAGCGUUGUUCGGAAUUACUGGGCGUAAAGGGCGCGUAGGCGGAUUAGUAAGUUGGGAGUGAAAGCCCGGGGCUUAACCUCGGAACUGCUUUCAAAACUGCUAGUCUAGAGUGAAGUAGGGGGUGAUGGAAUUCCUAGUGUAGAGGUGAAAUUCUUAGAUAUUAGGAGGAACACCGGUGGCGAAGGCGGUCACCUGGACUUCAACUGACGCUGAGGCGCGAAAGCGUGGGGAGCAAACAGGAUUAGAUACCCCCGUAGUCC